GUACGGUUUGUUUUUGUUAAUAUCUAUUUCGAUGACUUCUAUAUGAUAUUGCACUAACAAGAAGGUAUUAUAAUGCAAUUGAUACAAGACAAGGAGUUAUUUGCUUCUCUUUUAUAUGAUUCUGACAAUCCAUAUUGCGAUGGUAGUCUUUUUUGCUGGAACGGUUCAGCGGAAAAGACGCAUCGCUCUUUUUGCUUCUAGAAGAAAUGCCAGCAAAAGAAUCUCUUGACAGUGACUGACAGCAAAAAUGUCUUUUUCUAACUAGUAACAAGGCUAAGAUAUCAGCCUGAAAUAAAGGGUGGUGAAGUAAUAAUUAAAUCAUCCGUAUAAACCUAUACACAUAUAUGAGGAAAAAAUAAUACAAAAGUGUUUU
rnacentral:sRNA from 1 species